UACGGAGGGGGCUAGCGUUGUUCGGAAUUACUGGGAGUAAAGCGCACGUAGGCGGCUUUGUAAGUUAGAGGUGAAAGCCCGGGGCUCAACUCCGGAAUUGCCUUUAAGACUGCAUCGCUAGAAUUGUGGAGAGGUAAGUGGAAUUCCGAGUGUAGAGGUGAAAUUCGUAGAUAUUCGGAAGAACACCAGUGGCGAAGGCGGCUCACUGGCCCGGUACUGACGCUGAGGCACGAAAGCGUGGGGAGCGAACCGG
rnacentral:rRNA from 1 species